rnacentral:misc_RNA from 1 species
UUCUAAAUUGCUGCAGUAACUGAAAGUUAGGGUUCAUAUCCUAACAUUUGGUAAUCAGAGCACUGUACCAGGGGGGCUUUGCUUCCAAAUCUGUUUGCUGCAGUUUCCGAGAGGGGCCUUUGCUUCAAAUCAGACCAUGGAACUAUGACCUUGGCAACAAAAGAUCCUUCUGGGCAUGCUUGAAGGUAAUGAGAGAUGCAUUCAGAGACAAAAAG